rnacentral:rRNA from 1 species
CCUACGGGCGGCAGCAGUAGGGAAUCUUCCACAAUGGGCGAAAGCCUGAUGGAGCAACGCCGCGUGGGUGAAGAAGGUCUUCGGAUCGUAAAACCCUGUUGUUAGAGAAGAAAGUGCGUGAGAGUAACUGUUCACGUUUCGACGGUAUCUAACCAGAAAGCCACGGCUAACUACGUGCCAGCAGCCGCGGUAAUACGUAGGUGGCAAGCGUUAUCCGGAUUUAUUGGGCGUAAAGGGAACGCAGGCGGUCUUUUAAGUCUGAUGUGAAAGCCUUCGGCUUAACCGGAGUAGUGCAUUGGAAACUGGGAGACUUGAGUGCAGAAGAGGAGAGUGGAACUCCAUGUGUAGCGGUGAAAUGCAUAGAUAUCACACAGAACACCGAUUGCGAAGGCAUCUCACGAAUCCGCGAUUGACGCUGAUGCACGAAAGCGUGGGUAUCAAACAGGAUUAGAUACCCUUGUAGUC